rnacentral:lncRNA from 1 species
GUCCCGGAGGCAGGCGGGGAGGGGGCGGGCUAAGGGUGCGGGCGGAGGAGGAAGUGUCAUGGCGUCGGGCCGUGGAGCUUCUUCUCGCUGGUUCUUUACUCGAGAACAGCUGGAGAACACGCCGAGCCGCCGCUGCGGAGUGGAAGCGGAUGAAGAGCUGUCGCAUCGCCAGCAGGCGGCCAACCUCAUCCAGGACAUGGGGCAACGUCUUAAUGUGUAUCCUUUUCCUAGUUGCGGCCCUGCGUCCCACACGCCCCGGUCGCGCUCGCCGGGUGACCGGGCCUAGUGUCCCGGUAACAUGGCGCCGUUCUCUCUCUGCGGUCUUUUGAUCUCGGCAGAGAAACACAAAAAGCUAGGGCCCCAGCUGCGGCGGAGAGCCCAAGGAAGAG